GGGAAGAAGCGCAAGUGACGGUACCUGCAGAAGAAGCACCGGCUAACUACGUGCCAGCAGCCGCGGUAAUACGUAGGGUGCGAGCGUUGUCCGGAAUUAUUGGGCGUAAAGAGCUCGUAGGCGGCUUGUCGCGUCGGAUGUGAAAGCCCGGGGCUUAACCCCGGGUCUGCAUUCGAUACGGGCAGGCUAGAGUGUGGUAGGGGAGAUCGGAAUUCCUGGUGUAGCGGUGAAAUGCGCAGAUAUCAGGAGGAACACCGGUGGCGAAGGCGGAUCUCUGGGCCAUUACUGACGCUGAGGAGCGAAAGCGUGGGGAGCGAACAGGAUUAGAUACCCUGGUAGUCCACGCCGUAAACGUUGGGAACUAGGUGUUGGCGACAUUCCACGUCGUCGGUGCCGCAGCUAACGCAUUAAGUUCCCCGCCUGGGGAGUACGGCCGCAAGGCUAAAACUCAAAGGAAUUGACGGGGGCCCGCACAAGCAGCGGAGCAUGUGGCUUAAUUCGACGCAACGCGAAGAACCUUACCAAGGCUUGACAUAUACCGGAAACGGCCAGAGAUGGUCGCCCCCUUGUGGUCGGUAUACAGGUGGUGCAUGGCU
rnacentral:rRNA from 2 species